UUAAGCGACUAAGCGUACACGGUGGAUGCCCUGGCAGUCAGAGGCGAUGAAGGACGUGCUAAUCUGCGAUAAGCGUCGGUAAGGUGAUAUGAACCGUUAUAACCGGCGAUUUCCGAAUGGGGAAACCCAGUGUGUUUCGACACACUAUCAUUAACUGAAUCCAUAGGUUAAUGAGGCGAACCGGGGGAACUGAAACAUCUAAGUACCCCGAGGAAAAGAAAUCAACCGAGAUUCCCCCAGUAGCGGCGAGCGAACGGGGAGCAGCCCAGAGCCUGAAUCAGUGUGUGUGUUAGUGGAAGCGUCUGGAAAGGCGCGCGAUACAGGGUGACAGCCCCGUACACAAAAAUGCACAUGCUGUGAGCUCGAUGAGUAGGGCGGGACACGUGGUAUCCUGUCUGAAUAUGGGGGGACCAUCCUCCAAGGCUAAAUACUCCUGACUGACCGAUAGUGAACCAGUACCGUGAGGGAAAGGCGAAAAGAACCCCGGCGAGGGGAGUGAAAAAGAACCUGAAACCGUGUACGUACAAGCAGUGGGAGCACGCUUAGGCGUGUGACUGCGUACCUUUUGUAUAAUGGGUCAGCGACUUAUAUUCUGUAGCAAGGUUAACCGAAUAGGGGAGCCGAAGGGAAACCGAGUCUUAACUGGGCGUUAAGUUGCAGGGUAUAGACCCGAAACCCGGUGAUCUAGCCAUGGGCAGGUUGAAGGUUGGGUAACACUAACUGGAGGACCGAACCGACUAAUGUUGAAAAAUUAGCGGAUGACUUGUGGCUGGGGGUGAAAGGCCAAUCAAACCGGGAGAUAGCUGGUUCUCCCCGAAAGCUAUUUAGGUAGCGCCUCGUGAAUUCAUCUCCGGGGGUAGAGCACUGUUUCGGCAAGGGGGUCAUCCCGACUUACCAACCCGAUGCAAACUGCGAAUACCGGAGAAUGUUAUCACGGGAGACACACGGCGGGUGCUAACGUCCGUCGUGAAGAGGGAAACAACCCAGACCGCCAGCUAAGGUCCCAAAGUCAUGGUUAAGUGGGAAACGAUGUGGGAAGGCCCAGACAGCCAGGAUGUUGGCUUAGAAGCAGCCAUCAUUUAAAGAAAGCGUAAUAGCUCACUGGUCGAGUCGGCCUGCGCGGAAGAUGUAACGGGGCUAAACCAUGCACCGAAGCUGCGGCAGCGACGCUUAUGCGUUGUUGGGUAGGGGAGCGUUCUGUAAGCCUGUGAAGGUGUACUGUGAGGUAUGCUGGAGGUAUCAGAAGUGCGAAUGCUGACAUAAGUAACGAUAAAGCGGGUGAAAAGCCCGCUCGCCGGAAGACCAAGGGUUCCUGUCCAACGUUAAUCGGGGCAGGGUGAGUCGACCCCUAAGGCGAGGCCGAAAGGCGUAGUCGAUGGGAAACAGGUUAAUAUUCCUGUACUUGGUGUUACUGCGAAGGGGGGACGGAGAAGGCUAUGUUGGCCGGGCGACGGUUGUCCCGGUUUAAGCGUGUAGGCUGGUUUUCCAGGCAAAUCCGGAAAAUCAAGGCUGAGGCGUGAUGACGAGGCACUACGGUGCUGAAGCAACAAAUGCCCUGCUUCCAGGAAAAGCCUCUAAGCAUCAGGUAACAUCAAAUCGUACCCCAAACCGACACAGGUGGUCAGGUAGAGAAUACCAAGGCGCUUGAGAGAACUCGGGUGAAGGAACUAGGCAAAAUGGUGCCGUAACUUCGGGAGAAGGCACGCUGAUAUGUAGGUGAAGUCCCUCGCGGAUGGAGCUGAAAUCAGUCGAAGAUACCAGCUGGCUGCAACUGUUUAUUAAAAACACAGCACUGUGCAAACACGAAAGUGGACGUAUACGGUGUGACGCCUGCCCGGUGCCGGAAGGUUAAUUGAUGGGGUUAGCGCAAGCGAAGCUCUUGAUCGAAGCCCCGGUAAACGGCGGCCGUAACUAUAACGGUCCUAAGGUAGCGAAAUUCCUUGUCGGGUAAGUUCCGACCUGCACGAAUGGCGUAAUGAUGGCCAGGCUGUCUCCACCCGAGACUCAGUGAAAUUGAACUCGCUGUGAAGAUGCAGUGUACCCGCGGCAAGACGGAAAGACCCCGUGAACCUUUACUAUAGCUUGACACUGAACAUUGAGCCUUGAUGUGUAGGAUAGGUGGGAGGCUUUGAAGUGUGGACGCCAGUCUGCAUGGAGCCGACCUUGAAAUACCACCCUUUAAUGUUUGAUGUUCUAACGUUGACCCGUAAUCCGGGUUGCGGACAGUGUCUGGUGGGUAGUUUGACUGGGGCGGUCUCCUCCUAAAGAGUAACGGAGGAGCACGAAGGUUGGCUAAUCCUGGUCGGACAUCAGGAGGUUAGUGCAAUGGCAUAAGCCAGCUUGACUGCGAGCGUGACGGCGCGAGCAGGUGCGAAAGCAGGUCAUAGUGAUCCGGUGGUUCUGAAUGGAAGGGCCAUCGCUCAACGGAUAAAAGGUACUCCGGGGAUAACAGGCUGAUACCGCCCAAGAGUUCAUAUCGACGGCGGUGUUUGGCACCUCGAUGUCGGCUCAUCACAUCCUGGGGCUGAAGUAGGUCCCAAGGGUAUGGCUGUUCGCCAUUUAAAGUGGUACGCGAGCUGGGUUUAGAACGUCGUGAGACAGUUCGGUCCCUAUCUGCCGUGGGCGCUGGAGAACUGAGGGGGGCUGCUCCUAGUACGAGAGGACCGGAGUGGACGCAUCACUGGUGUUCGGGUUGUCAUGCCAAUGGCACUGCCCGGUAGCUAAAUGCGGAAGAGAUAAGUGCUGAAAGCAUCUAAGCACGAAACUUGCCCCGAGAUGAGUUCUCCCUGACUCCUUGAGAGUCCUGAAGGAACGUUGAAGACGACGACGUUGAUAGGCCGGGUGUGUAAGCGCAGCGAUGCGUUGAGCUAACCGGUACUAAUGAACCGUGAGGCUUAACCU
rnacentral:rRNA from 1 species